GGGUUGUGAGGUUAAGCGACUAAGCGUACACGGUGGAUGCCCUGGCAGUCAGAGGCGAUGAAGGACGUGCUAAUCUGCGAUAAGCGUCGGUAAGGUGAUAUGAACCGUUAUAACCGGCGAUUUCCGAAUGGGGAAACCCAGUGUGUUUCGACACACUAUCAUUAACUGAAUCCAUAGGUUAAUGAGGCGAACCGGGGGAACUGAAACAUCUAAGUACCCCGAGGAAAAGAAAUCAACCGAGAUUCCCCCAGUAGCGGCGAGCGAACGGGGAGGAGCCCAGAGCCUGAAUCAGUGUGUGUGUUAGUGGAAGCGUCUGGAAAGGCGCGCGAUACAGGGUGACAGCCCCGUACACAAAAAUGCACAUGCUGUGAGCUCGAUGAGUAGGGCGGGACACGUGGUAUCCUGUCUGAAUAUGGGGGGACCAUCCUCCAAGGCUAAAUACUCCUGACUGACCGAUAGUGAACCAGUACCGUGAGGGAAAGGCGAAAAGAACCCCGGCGAGGGGAGUGAAAAAGAACCUGAAACCGUGUACGUACAAGCAGUGGGAGCACGCUUAGGCGUGUGACUGCGUACCUUUUGUAUAAUGGGUCAGCGACUUAUAUUCUGUAGCAAGGUUAACCGAAUAGGGGAGCCGAAGGGAAACCGAGUCUUAACUGGGCGUUAAGUUGCAGGGUAUAGACCCGAAACCCGGUGAUCUAGCCAUGGGCAGGUUGAAGGUUGGGUAACACUAACUGGAGGACCGAACCGACUAAUGUUGAAAAAUUAGCGGAUGACUUGUGGCUGGGGGUGAAAGGCCAAUCAAACCGGGAGAUAGCUGGUUCUCCCCGAAAGCUAUUUAGGUAGCGCCUCGUGAAUUCAUCUCCGGGGGUAGAGCACUGUUUCGGCAAGGGGGUCAUCCCGACUUACCAACCCGAUGCAAACUGCGAAUACCGGAGAAUGUUAUCACGGGAGACACACGGCGGGUGCUAACGUCCGUCGUGAAGAGGGAAACAACCCAGACCGCCAGCUAAGGUCCCAAAGUCAUGGUUAAGUGGGAAACGAUGUGGGAAGGCCCAGACAGCCAGGAUGUUGGCUUAGAAGCAGCCAUCAUUUAAAGAAAGCGUAAUAGCUCACUGGUCGAGUCGGCCUGCGCGGAAGAUGUAACGGGGCUAAACCAUGCACCGAAGCUGCGGCAGCGAC
rnacentral:rRNA from 1 species